rnacentral:lncRNA from 1 species
GGCGCAGGGAGGCACGGGGUUCUCCAUGGGAACGCUUGCUCUGGCCGCCGCCGCAGCCGGACCCCCGCUCAGCAGCCCACCAUGACCGCGCCCUGACUCAGCCUGCUCAAGGUCGACUGUUCCUCUGGGGCCCUAGCUGCACGGACUUUUCCUGGCCCGAGAUCAAAUUUCACUUUUGUGUGCACAGUUCCUCUGGCUCACACACGGCUCCCCUCUCCCGCAAGGAGGAGUGUGUCGGUCCUGUGUGCACUCUCAGCUGAACUUCUGGAGGGCAGGCACGUCAGCGUUGGCUAGCCCAGUGCCAGGGUCUCAGUGGCUGCUUCUCCAGGCCGGUGCACGGAUGCUUCCCUGCAGGAGAUUUCCAGCAGAGGUGGUUUGACUCCGUCCCACUGACGCCUCUUCACCAGGCGCCCCGUGCGCCCCGGCUGGGAUUAGAGCCAGUCACGCCAGCCUCCCUGCGAUGGAGCCGAGACAGCCCCUCCCAGCUCAGCCACACGACCAGCCCUACGCCCAGCAACCAGGUUUGCUCCAGGCAGAGUCCAGCACAUAGCUGGCCUUCCCCGUGCCUCGUUCAGCAGUGCACGGCCUCAGGUCGGCUCUCUGCCUGCAGUGACACAGCAGCCUUCGAGCUGAACAGAAGGAGAAAGGGCCCUGCCUCAGUGGAUCAGGGAGCAGAAGUCAAAGGAAAGCUUGUCUUCAGCAGAACAAAAGGAAGCCAACACACAGAGCAAAACCUAGGAGCUGGAUCAAGCCAUGCUUACAGCCAGCUUCACCCUGGGGCUUCUGAGGUAUGUGAGCUAAUAAAUUCCAUUUGUAACGUAAGCUAACUUGUGUGGGAUUCCCAUCCCUGGAAACU